GACGAACGCUGGCGGCGUGCUUAACACAUGCAAGUCGAACGGAAAGGCCCUGCUUUUGUGGGGUGCUCGAGUGGCGAACGGGUGAGUAACCCGUGAGUAACCUGCCCUUUACUUUUGGAUAACUUCAGGAAACUGUGAUUAAUACCGGAUAGGAGCUCCUGCUGCAUGGUGGGGUUUGGACAGUUUCGGCGGUUGGGGAUUGACUCGCGGCUUAUCAGCUUGUUGGUGGGGUAGUGGCUUACCAAGGCUUUGACGGGUAGCCGGCCUGAGAGGGUGACCGGCCACAUUGGGACUGAGAGACGGCCCAGAGUCCUACGGGAGGCAGCAGUGGGGAAUAUUGCACAAUGGGGGGAAGCGUGAUGCAGCAACGCCGCGUGUGGGAUGAAGGCCUUCGGGUUGUAAACCGCUGUCGCCUGUGACGAAGCGUGAGUGACGGUAAUGGGUAAAGAAGCACCGGCUAACUACGUG
rnacentral:rRNA from 1 species